rnacentral:rRNA from 1 species
GAUGAACGCUGGCGGCGUGCCUAAUACAUGCAAGUCGAGCGAACGGACGAGAAGCUUGCUUCUCUGAUGUUAGCGGCGGACGUGUGAGUAAAAUGUGGAUAACCUACCUAUAAGACUGGGAUAACUUCGUGAAACCGGAGCUAAUACCGUAUAAUAUUUUGAACCGCAUAGUUCAAAAGUGAAAGACGGUCUUGCUGUCACUUAUAGCUGUAUCCGCGCUGCAUUGGCUAGUUGGUAAGGUAACGGCUUACCAAGGCAACACUGCAUAGCCGACCUGCGAGGGUGAUGGGCCACUCUGGAACUGAGACACGGCACAGAGUCCUACGGGAGGCAGCAGUAGGGAAUGGUCCGCAAUGGGCGAAAGCCUGACGGAGCAACGCCGCGUGAGUGAUGAAGGUCUUCGGAUCGGAAAACUCUGUUAUUAGGGAAGAACAUAUGCGUAAGUAACUGUGCACAUCUUGACGGUACCUAAUCAGAAAGCCACGGCUAACUACGUG